UUUGGUGGCGAUAGCGAAGAGGUCACACCCGUUCCCAUACCGAACACGGAAGUUAAGCUCUUCAGCGCCGAUGGUAGUCGGGGGUUUCCCCCUGUGAGAGUAGGACGCCGCCAAGG
rnacentral:rRNA from 1 species